AUUGAACGCUGGCGGCAGGCCUAACACAUGCAAGUCGAGCGGAUGAAGGGAGCUUGCUCCUGGAUUCAGCGGCGGACGGGUGAGUAAUGCCUAGGAAUCUGCCUGGUAGAGGGGGAUAACGUCCGGAAACGGGCGCUAAUACCGCAUACGUCCAGAGGGAGAAAGUGGGGGAUCUUCGGACCUCACGGUAUCAGAUGAGCCUACGUCGGAUUAGCUAGUUGGUGGGGUAAAGGCUUACCAAGGCGACGAUCCGUAGCCGACCUGAGAGGGUGAUCAGCCACACUGGAACUGAGACACGGUCCAGACUCCUACGGGAGGCAGCAGUAGGGAAUCUUCCGCAAUGGGCGAAAGCCUGACGGAGCAACGCCGCGUGAGUGAUGAAGGUCUUCGGAUCGUAAAACUCUGUUAUUAGGGAAGAACAUAUGUGUAAGUAACUGUGCACAUCUUGACGGUACCUAAUCAGAAAGCCACGGCUAACUACGUG
rnacentral:rRNA from 1 species